GAUGAACGCUAGCGGCAGGCCUAAUACAUGCAAGUCGAACGCUCAGUAGCAAUACUGGGAGUGGCGCACGGGUGCGUAACGCGUACACAAUCUACCUCUAAGCGGGGACACCUCCUGGAAACGGGGAUUAAUACCGCAUAAUAUGCCGAGGUCGCAUGACUUUGGUAUUAAAGCAGCAAUGCACUUAGAGAUGAGUGUGCGUCCCAUUAGGUAGUUGGUGAGGUAACGGCUCACCAAGCCUAUGAUGGGUAGCCGGUCUGAGAGGAUGGUCGGCCACACGGGCACUGAGACACGGGCCCGAUCCUACGGGAGGCAGCAGUAAGG
rnacentral:rRNA from 1 species